UGUGUAGGGAGAGGAGUUUUCAACUUUUGAUCUUGGUUUAAUUCUGCUGGGGACUGGAGACGCGACGUGGAAACCUGAGGUUCCGGGGUAGGAGUGGAGUGGCUGCGACAGCCUGGCUGGGCUUCCUGGCUAAGACAGCAGAAGCAAGCAGGGGAGGAGCUGGCCGUGUCCCCAGGGCCGCCCAGCAGUCUGUAAGAAGAGGGACAGGCUUCUCCGAGAGUCCGUAAUUAGGAAAACCACUCUGGGCUAUGCAAAUAAACACAGGACAACGGACACAGACUAGAGAGACCAGGAGUCAUAACAAUGCCAGUUCGCCUGUCCUCUUCCGCAUUGAUCAACCUGGUGUUAAUUUCAAGUCGUAAAGUCUUCUGCUAUUUUUUUUCCUGACUGUAGAAAUAAAACUGGCUCACUGUAGAAGUAAAACAAAAUUUAAUGGCCCAAACCUCACAAUUACAUAGAAAUGUUAAGUUGAAAAGUCGUAGUCCUCUGUGACCCCGUCCAAACUAUAACCCAAAGCCGCUAAUAAUGGGUCAGUGUUCUUCCCUCUGGCAUUUCCAUCAUACGGAUACUUUCUUUGCUUUUGCUUUUUUAAAACACGUAAAUGAGGCUAUAUUCUAAAUAUCAUUCUGCAACUUAUUUUUUAAACGUAAAGAUAUAUUGUCAGUGUUUUUCCAGGUCAGUGUGUGCAGAUCUAUCCCAUUCUUUUCAGCUGUGGCAGAGUGUUCCAUUUAUUUAAAUCACCCUCCAGCCCGCUGACAUCAGCACUGAGGAUCCUUUCUCACUCUUGCAAAAAGCCUGCGGGAGGCAUCCUCAGACACAUCUUUGCAACUUGCAUGUUUCAAUGGGAGCAAAAACGCCUACAUUUCUCUCCUAACAAAGACAAUGUAGCUAAACGGAAUAGGACCCCUGUAUGUUUUAAAACCCAAAUUGGGGUGGGCGGACCACCAGGGGAUAGUGGUAAUAACCGUGGAUGUUUGGGCUUGGUUUUAGGGUUUGUGCAACCAUGUAAGAAAGGUCUGUUUACCAUGAAUCUCAUCUUCCAACCCUCUAAUUCUAAAGCUGUUGCUUUUAUAUUUAAUCUAAGUGAGAUUUAACCUAAAAGCCCAACUUUGGAUCAGCCUGUGUGAAGUUCAGGAACAUCAUCUUACCCAUAUCCCAGGAGGAACUGCAAUUGGAUACAUCCUCGGGUCUGGCAUUCCCUGGGUCGGUUUCCACUUUUUCCUAUUGAAGGACUUCUGGGUUCUCUAGUUACACAGCACCUUGGAUGCCUGUUUCCCAUGGUGCACUAUCGGCCAAGUUCUGUGUGAGGAAUGUCACAUGCAUUGCUCUGCUGAAUUCUUACAACAAAUUGGUGAGGUUCAUUUUUAAAGCUAUAAGCACCAAAUUAUUGAUGACCCCUGCCUGCCCCACACUGUCUGAAGCCAUGAAGCCCAUCUUCAAGCUGCCUGUUCUACCUCUAACUAUGGUUUUCCCAUGAUGCAUCUGGCUACCUUGGUUCAGCUAUCGGAUGGGAAGGGAUGGAUGCAGGAGGGAAAGAUAACUCUUGCUUAAAGGGCACCAUCAGAUGCCAAGCCAAAGUCAUAAAGAGGAUGAGGCAGCGGGCCUCCAAGGUAUCCCGGGGAAGACUGUCUUAGGCAGAAGCAAUGCCAAGUUCAAAGGCACUGGGGUGUUGCAAGAACAGCAAGGAGACCCGAGCAGCUGGACUGGGGUGAGCAAAGGGGAGAGAGCAGGAGGAGAAGGGACAGAGGCCACGGGGCUCCGGGCCUCGAAGGGACUUGAAAGCCGUUGCAAAGAGUUUGACAUUUCCAUAUUGAACCACAGUUCUUCCAAAGAACACUCUACCUGCCUAGGAACAUUCCUUUCCUGCCUAGGUUGGAGCUCCCCUUCCCCCCCACACCCACCUUCCUGGCCUAGUCAAUGGUCUCAGCCAAUUCCUCUCUUCCUUAGUUUCCCCAUCGCAUGCUGCCAGAGCGAGCCUCUCCCAUCCCCAA